GAUUAAGGUAAAAUGUGCAUGUAGGAUUUGCUCCUCCCCCAACCUGCUUAUUCCCAAACCCUCUCCUUCGUUCUUCUCCUCCGCACGUGUCCUCCCAAAACCCUCUCCUUUCGCUCCUCUCCUCCACUCCAAACCCUAACCUCUGCUCAUCUCCUUCGUCGAUCUCGUUGAGAAACGAAGAACGCGGAGCUAGGCAUUUCAAAUAGAAGAAUAUAUUUUUCUUUUUUCCCUUUUUUUUCCCCCUAAUCUUUUACUUACGAGUCUUUAAUGGGCAUGAAAGAGAUUAUUCUAACUUCUGUUAACCAUUUUAUAGUUGAAUAAUGUUAGUGUGUUGUACUAACUUGUUUUGA